ACCUGACAUGGGGCACGUACCCCACAACAAGACAGACGCCACGGAGACAAGCACGAGGAUCCAGGGGAGGGGCCUCCGCAUGCGACCGAAGACACCACGUAGGGCAAGUUUCCACGCAAGAAUCACGGGCUUCCGGGAUAGGCUCCGGACCCGCCGCGACCCAGUAGGAUAAGCCGUUUGGAAAAUGGAUGGAUGGAUGGAGAUCUAUUUAGGUAGUUCAGGUGUCUAGAUACUCCUGCAGCUCCAGCACGCUGAACUUCAUCUUCUCCAGCAAUCCAUAAGAGAUUAUCUACACAAAGGGGGCACUUGGUGGAUUAGGGGGUUCUGAAGCAUCCCAGCCUCGAUGAUACUUAAAGGG